CGCCUUCUCCUUGCUUCUGGGGUCGUGGCCUUGCUCCUGCUGUGCGGGAAAAGAAUCCAGGUCCUUCCACGCGCGUGUGGGCGCAGGGGCCCCGAAGUGCUCGUGGUUCCGCGCUAGGUCUCCGCUGGGGCAGGAACCGGAGCCAUGGGUGGGACCACCAGCACCCGCCGGGUCGCCUUCGAGGCGGACGAGAAUGAGAACAUCACCGUGGUGAAGGGCAUCCGGCUUUCGGAAAAUGUGAUUGAUCGAAUGAAGGAAUCCUCUCCAUCUGGUUCGAAGCCUCAGCGGUAUUCUGGUGCUUAUGGUGCCUCAGUUUCUGAUGAAGAAUUGAAAAGAAGAGUAGCUGAGGAGCUGAUAUUGGAGCAAGUCAAGAAAGAAUCCGAAGAUCAGAAACGACUAAAGCAAGCCAAAGAGCUGGACCGAGAGAGGGCUGCUGCCAAUGAGCAGUUAACCAGAGCCAUCCUUCGGGAGAGGAUAUCAAGCGAGGAGGAGGGCGCUAAGGCGAAGCACCUGGCUAGGCAGCUGGAAGAGAAAGACCGAGUACUAAAGAAGCAGGAUGCAUUCUACAAAGAACAGCUGGCUAGACUGGAGGAGAGGAGCUCAGAGUUCUACAAAGUCACCACUGAACAAUAUCAGAGAGCUGCUGAAGAGGUAGAAGCAAAGUUCAAGCGGUAUGAGUCUCAUCCAGUCUGUGCUGAUCUGCAGGCCGAAAUUCUUCAGUGUUACCGUGAGAACGCCCACCAGACCCUCAAAUGCUCCUCUCUGGCCACCCAGUAUAUGCACUGUGUCAAUCAUGCCAAACAGAGCAUGCUUGAGAAGGGAGGAUAAAAACUUUCAGAACGAGCAAAACACCAUCAACGUUAAUUCCAGAGAUGGAACAUUUUUUUUUUCCUAGUAAGAAAAUAACCCAUUUGAAGAGAAGACCACUAAUGAGAAGACCACUAAAGACAGACAAGAAUGGACUCAGCAUAAUCAUUUCACAUUUUGAACAGCAGCAAUUUGAAGGGCCAAAGCCUUGAUCAGGGAUCAGUCAUUAAAGGACGCACUUCAGUAUUAGUAAACCCUCUUAUGAUGACUAAAAGAGAAGGGCAGCCCUCUCCACCAUUUGGUACUUUCUAUUCAACUUCCACUGACCAUAAAAUGUUUCUCUUCUGAGCAAGCCCCAUCAUUUGGAGAACCUCCACCCUAACAAAGCAGAAUGGGGUGGGGGGCUAAAU